GAAAUGCGAUAAGUAAUGCGAAUUGCAGAGUUUAGUGAGUCAUCGAAUCUUUGAACGCACAUUGCGCCCGCCGGCAUUCCGGCGGGCAUGCCUGUCCGAGCGUCGCUUCAACCCCUCGGGCCCCGCCCGGAGUUGGGGACCCGCGCCCCGCGGCCCCCGAAAAGCAGCGGCGCCGCCGCCCGGCCCGACCCCCGCGAGGUAGCAACACAGCGCGCGGGGUCCCGGGCGGUCCGGCCGCCAGACGCAACCACACUCCAUGAGUCUGACCUCGGAUCAGGUAGGGCUACCCGCUGAACUUAA
rnacentral:misc_RNA from 1 species